UUUCUUAUGAAGUGGCCAAGCCCAUCACCAAGAAUGAUCCUUCUUAGCUGUGCUUCCACAUGGGAUAUAAACAAAGAUUUAUCUUGUUACCCUAGGCUAAUAGAGAAACACCGGUAAAAAGCACAAACAGGGGCAUGAUCGUAAACAUUUUCUAAAGACUUUGGCUUCAGAGAACUCCACAUAUGAUUGUGCAGAUCUCAAUUUUUGCUCCAGGGACUGCCAAAAAUUAUGGAAGCAAUUUAAUUUAAUCCUGUAUUGAGAGGGCAGGGAUCUGAUUAUGUUGACAUUGCCUGAGUUCUCCAUUUAAGCAGUGAGAGUGCUUAAAGGCUGGGAAAUCCAAGUUCAGUUUGGGGCUUUUAAAUUGUUCCAGGUCUCUCACACUUCUUCAGGCACAAUAAACAAGAGCACUAAAGAUGACCCUUCACAAUGGAAUGCCCUUUUCAGAAAGCAUAUGGUAGCAAAAAAAAAUAAAAUAAAAUAAAAAAAAUUGGGCUUUGAAGCCACCUACAUACUAUAUAUUCUCAGACAACUUAGUUAAUAGCUCCAAGCUUUAUUUCUUCAUUCCCCCACUACCUCACCAAAAUGGUAAGGAUAAUUCUAAUUUUCAAAUAUUGUUUUCAGAUCAGAUAUUAUCUAUAUCAAUCAUAGUACCUGACACAUAGUAAGCAUUCAACUCAUAUUAUUGAUCCUAAAAUUCUUUUGCUUUUUCUCUAUAGCACAAGGGCAUAAUUCUAGAAUAUGGAAGCUGGUCAACUCUAGAGCCUUCUGAUGCUACCAGGAAGCCAGGUCAUACCCAAAACUUCUAAGACAGUGUCAUGGACCUAGCAAGGAGCACCAUAAAUACAAUGCUGCACAAAUGACUGAAAGAAAACGGUAACUAGAAGGGAAUGGUGAUAAGGACAUCAAAGGAAGAGAAAAUGUCAAGAAAGAACUUUAACAGUAUCAAAUGAUGGAGAGCUGUUAUGUUUCCAAUUUUACAAAGGUCAAGCUCCAAGAUGGCACUAGCACUGAUCUGUCUUUUUCCAAAGCCCGUGUGAGUCUUCUUAUUCAACAGUCCAUGCCCUGUCUAUCACACCCGAGGUUCCCAACCCCUAGCUGCAGACCAGUCCGUGGCCUGUUAGGAACUGGGCUACACAAUAGGAGGUGAGCAGCAGGGAACGGGCAAGCAAAAAUUCAUCUGUAUGUAUAGCCGCUCCCCAUCACUCACAUCACCACCUGAGCUCCACCUCCUGUCAGACCAGCAGCAGCAUUAGAUUCUGCAUUACGGUGAGUUGUAUAAUUAUUUAACUAUAUAUUACAAUGUAAUAAUAAUAGAAAUAAAGCACACAAUGAAUGUAAUGCACCUGAAUUAUCCCAAAAUCAUCUGCUCCGCACCGCACUGUCCCCAAAGUCUGUGGAAAAACUAUCUUUCAUGAAACCAGUCCUUGGUGCCAAAAAGGUUGGGGACCACUGUAUUACACCACACUACCUCAAAUGCACACGUAAAUCACCUAAAGCUCAGUUUAAUUUAGCAGGAAAUGUUUCUAAAAAAUGUUUGAUUGUAAACUGUCACAGUCCCAUCAGAUUAGGAAAGCAGAGCAAAACCUUGUCCAGGAUACAACAUCAAAAUUUCCUAUAUUUUAUUUUAUGAGCUAUUCCUAAGGAUAACUUAAAUAAUUGAGACUAAUUCUGAAAAAAAAAGACAAGUAUUUCUUUUUGCAGCUAAAAUGGAGCCACCAUGUUAAAGCAGUGUAAAAAUACAAUUUAGAAUUCAUUUUUUU